rnacentral:rRNA from 1 species
UACGUAGGGCGCAAGCGUUGUCCGGAUUCAUUGGGCGUAAAGAGCGUGUAGGCGGCCAGAUAGGUCAGCUGUGAAAACUCGGGGCUCAACCCUGAGACGUCGGUUGAAACCAUCUGGCUAGAGUCCGGAAGAGGAGUGUGGAAUUCCCGGUGUAGCGGUGAAAUGCGCAGACAUCGGGAAGAACACCCGGUGGCGAAGGCG